GACGAACGCUGGCGGCGUGCUUAACACAUGCAAGUCGAACGGUAAGGCUCCAGCUUGCUGGGGUACACGAGUGGCGAACGGGUGAGUAACACGUGGGUGACCUGCCCUGCACUUCGGGAUAAGCCUGGGAAACUGGGUCUAAUACCGGAUAGGACUGCACCGUGAGGGUGUGGUGGAAAGUUUUUUCGGUGUGGGAUGGGCCCGCGGCCUAUCAGCUUGUUGGUGGGGUAAUGGCCUACCAAGGCGGCGACGGGUAGCCGGCCUGAGAGGGUGGACGGCCACAUUGGGACUGAGACACGGCCCAGACUCCUACGGGAGGCAGCAGUGGGGAAUAUUGCACAAUGGGCGGAAGCCUGAUGCAGCGACGCCGCGUGGGGGAUGACGGCCUUCGGGUUGUAAACUCCUUUCACCAUCGACGAAAGGUUUCUGACGGUAGAUGGAGAGGAAGCACCGGCUAACUACGCGCCAGCAGCCGCGGUAAUACGUAUGGUGCGAGCGCUGUCCGGAAUUACUGGGCGUAAAGAGCUCGUAGGUGGUUUGUCGCGUCGUCUGUGAAAUUCCGGGGCUUAACUCCGGGCGUGCAGGCGAUACGGGCAUAACUUGAGUACUGUAGGGGAGACUGGAAUUCCUGGUGUAGCGGUGAAAUGCGCAGAUAUCAGGAGGAACACCGGUGGCGAAGGCGGGUCUCUGGGCAGUAACUGACGCUGAGGAGCGAAAGCAUGGGGAGCGAACAGGAUUAGAUACCCUGGUAGUCCAUGCCGUAAACGGUGGGCGCUAGGUGUGGGUUUCCUUCCACGGGAUCCGUGCCGUAGCUAACGCAUUAAGCGCCCCGCCUGGGGAGUACGGCCGCAAGGCUAAAACUCAAAGGAAUUGACGGGGGCCCGCACAAGCGGCGGAGCAUGUGGAUUAAUUCGAUGCAACGCGAAGAACCUUACCUGGGCUUGACAUAUACAGGAUCGCGCCAGAGAUGGUGUUUCCCUUGUGGCUUGUAUACAGGUGGUGCAUGGUUGUCGUCAGCUCGUGUCGUGAGAUGUUGGGUUAAGUCCCGCAACGAGCGCAACCCUUGUCUUAUGUUGCCAGCACGUUGUGGUGGGGACUCGUAAGAAACUGCCGGGGUUAACUCGGAGGAAGGUGGGGAUGACGUCAAAUCAUCAUGCCCCUUAUGUCCAGGGCUUCACACAUGCUACAAUGGUCGGUACAGUGGGUUGCCAGUCCGUGAGGGCGAGCUAAUCCCGCAAAGCCGGUCUCAGUUCGGAUCGGGGUCUGCAACUCGACCCCGUGAAGUCGGAGUCGCUAGUAAUCGCAGAUCAGCAACGCUGCGGUGAAUACGUUCCCGGGCCU
rnacentral:rRNA from 1 species